rnacentral:rRNA from 1 species
AUUGAACGCUGGCGGCAGGCCUAACACAUGCAAGUCGAGCGGGGCGGCGGACGGGUGAGGAAUGCCAGGGUAUCUGCCCGGUAGUGGGGGAUAACGUCCGGAAACGGGCGCUAAUACCACAUACUAUCAGAAUAGUCUAGGUCGGAUUGGCUAGUUGGUGGGGUAAGGGCCUAGCAAGGCGACGAUCCGUAGCUGGUCUGAGAGGAUGAUCAGUCACACUGGAACUGAGACACGGUCCAGACUCCUACGGGAGGCAGCAGUGGGGAAUUUUGGACAAUGGGCGAAAGCCUGAUCCAGCCAUGCCGCGUGUGUGAAGAAGGUCUUCGGAUUGUAAAGCACUUUAAGUUGGGAGGCGUUACCAAAAGAAUAAGCACCGGCUAACUACGUGCCAGCAGCCGCGGUAAUAC